UGAAAAGGACACUAAUGAAAGUCUAUUAGAUGAUUUAAUCGAUAUUGUAAGAAAAUUUAACAGCUCCUUGGAAAACAAGAUAUAUAUAUAUAUAAGAGAGAGAGAGAGAGAGAGAGAGAGAGAGAGAGAAAGCAAUAUGAAAAGGACACUAACGAAAGUCUAUUAGAUGAUUUAAUCGAUAUUGGAAGAAAAUUUAACAGCUC
rnacentral:lncRNA from 1 species